rnacentral:rRNA from 1 species
GAUAAACGCUGACAGAAUGCUUAACACAUGCAAGUCAACUUGAAUUUGGGUUUUUAACUUAGAUUUGGGUGGCGGACGGGUGAGUAACGCGUAAAGAACUUGCCUCACAGUUAGGGACAACAUUUGGAAACGAAUGCUAAUACCUGAUAUUAUGAUUUUAGGGCAUCCUAAGAUUAUGAAAGCUAUAUGCGCUGUGAGAGAGCUUUGCGUCCCAUUAGCUAGUUGGAGAGGUAACGGCUCACCAAGGCGAUGAUGGGUAGCCGGCCUGAGAGGGUGAACGGCCACAAGGGGACUGAGACACGGCCCUUACUCCUACGGGAGGCAGCAGUGGGGAAUAUUGGACAAUGGACCAAAAGUCUGAUCCAGCAAUUCUGUGUGCACGAUGACGUUUUUCGGAAUGUAAAGUGCUUUCAGUUGGGAAGAAAAAAAUGACGGUACCAACAGAAGAAGUGACGGCUAAAUACGUGCCAGCAGCCGCGGUAAUACGUAUGUCACAAGCGUUAUCCGGAUUUAUUGGGCGUAAAGCGCGUCUAGGUGGUUAUGUAAGUCUGAUGUGAAAAUGCAGGGCUCAACUCUGUAUUGCGUUGGAAACUGCAUGACUAGAGUACUGGAGAGGUAAGCGGAACUACAAGUGUAGAGGUGAAAUUCGUAGAUAUUUGUAGGAAUGCCGAUGGGGAAGCCAGCUUACUGGACAGAUACUGACGCUAAAGCGCGAAAGCGUGGGUAGCAAACAGG